GCUCCGGCGGCCUAGUGGUUUAGAAUGUCCGCCUCGGAUGCGGGAGGUCGUGGGUUUUAACCCCGGCCGAAUCA